rnacentral:rRNA from 1 species
CAGCAGCCGCGGGAAUACGUAGGUGGCAAGCGUCGUCCGGAAUUAUUGGGCGUAAAGGGCUCGCAGGCGGUUUCUUAAGUCUGAUGUGAAAGCCCCCGGCUCAACCUGGGAGGGUCAUUGGAAACUGGGAAACUUGAGUGCAGAAGAGGAGAGUGGAAUUCCACGUGUAGCGGUGAAAUGCGUAGAGAUAUGGAGGAACACCAGUGGCGAAGGCGACUCUCUGGUCUGUAACUGACGCUGAGGAGCGAAAGCGUGGGGAGCGAACAGGAUUAGAUACCCCCGUAGUCCCUGUCUCUUAUAC